rnacentral:rRNA from 1 species
AUGAACGCUGGCGGCGUGCCUCAUCCAUGCAAGUCGCGCGAACAGACGAGGAGCUUGCUCCUCUGACGUUAGCGGCGGACGGGUGAGUAACACGUGGAUAACCUACCUAUAAGACUGGGAUAACUUCGGGAAACCGGAGCUAAUACCGGAUAAUAUAUUGAACCGCAUGGUUCAAUAGUGAAAGACGGUUUUGCUGUCACUUAUAGAUGGAUCCGCGCCGCAUUAGCUAGUUGGUAAGGUAACGGCUUACCAAGGCGACGAUGCGUAGCCGACCUGAGAGGGUGAUCGGCCACACUGGAACUGAGACACGGUCCAGACUCCUACGGGAGGCAGCAGUAGGGAAUCUUCCGCAAUGGGCGAAAGCCUGACGGAGCAACGCCGCGUGAGUGAUGAAGGUCUUCGGAUCGUAAAACUCUGUUAUUAGGGAAGAACAAAUGUGUAAGUAACCAUGCACGUCUUGACGGUACCUAAUCAGAAAGCCACGGCUAACUACGUG